AUCUAUGCUAAUGCUAACGCUAGCAUUAGCUUUGAGACCUGGAGCUACAGAAGAUCUUUUCUGACAAGUUAAAAGUUGCCUAAAUAAAUUCCAGUGCUUACAAAAUCCUUGUAAACAGAGCUAAAGUCGGACAAUUUUAGCGUGACUUACAUUAAGAUGUCCCCCUAGAGCAAAUAAAGCUUCAUGAAGGAUUGCUCUGGAGUGAACCAAUUGGAAGAAAGGCUUCAGUGCUUCAAGAAAGCUUCAUCUGCAUCUGGCCAUCACUAUUGGAGCUGGAGAGCUGGACUGAAAGGAAAAGGGAACGAGGGAGUUUGAGCAGCUACAGGACAAGCUAAGUGAAGCGUUGGUGCAGCUACAAAAGUUACCGCAGUUACCAGAGGCUGGUGUUUGUAGCUUGGUGGUCCACCUAAAGGAGGAAGAAGAACUGUUCGAGGAAGAUGCUGACAUCACUGAGGAAGUCUAGAAAACUGCCAAUGCAAAAGGGACUACACCAGUUCGUGCAGGAAUUGUGAUCGAGGGAACAGAAGGACGUACCCAGAACCUCAUUUUGGUUUGUUUCCACCAAUGUCCUCAUUUCUCCCUCUGAUUGACUGACACACGUGGCCAGGUGAUUAACAGGAAGUAAAACAAGGAAACCCGGAAAAUCAGCAGGACAUCAGCCCUCAAAGACUGGAAUUUGACACUUUGUGCUAUGAAAAGUUUUUACUGUCCUGCUGACAGUAACAAAUGACA